rnacentral:rRNA from 1 species
GACAGAGGGUGCAAACGUUAUUCGGAAUUACUGGGCGUAAAGCGUGUGUAGGCGGCCGCGUAAGUCGGAUGUGAAAGCCCUGGGCUCAACCCAGGAAGUGCACUCGAUACUGCGUGGCUCGAGUACUGGAGAGGUUGGUGGAAUUCUCGGUGUAGAGGUGAAAUUCGUAGAUAUCGAGAGGAACACCGGUGGCGAAGGCGGCCAACUGGACAGAUACUGACGCUGAGACACGAAAGCGUGGGGAGCAAACAGG